GAUGAACGCUGGCGGCGUGCUUAACACAUGCAAGUCGAACGGAAACGCUCCUUCUUGCAGGGGUACUCGAGUGGCGAACGGGUGAGUAACACGUGGGCGAUCUGCCCUGCACUUCGGGAUACGCCGGGGGAACUGGGUCUAAUACCGGAGAGGACGAUGGGUUGGAUGCCAUUGUGGAAAGUUGUUUCGGUGUGGGAUGAGCUCGCGGCCUAUCAGCUUGUUGGUGGGGUAAUGGCCUACCAAGGCGUCGACGGGUAGCCGGCCUGAGAGUGUGUACGGCGACAUUGGGACUGAGAUACGGCGCAGACUGCUACGGGAGGCAGCGGUGGGGAAUAUUGCACAAUGGGCGCAAGCCUGAUGCAGCGACGCCGCGUGGGGGAUGACGGCCUUCCGGUUGUGAACUGCUUUCGCUAGGGACGGAGCGCAAGUGACGGUACCUGGAGAAGAAGCACCGGCUAACUACGUG
rnacentral:rRNA from 1 species